GAUGAACGCUGACAGAAUGCUUAACACAUGCAAGUCAACUGAACUUCGGUUUGGGUGGCGGACGGGUGAGUAACGCGUAAAGAACUUGCCUCACAGAUAGGGACAACAUUUGGAAACGAAUGCUAAUACCUGAUAUUAUGAUUUUAGGGCAUCCUAGAAUUAUGAAAGCUAUAUGCGCUGUGAGAGAGCUCUGCGUCCCAUUAGCUAGUUGGAGAGGUAACGGCUCACCAAGGCGAUGAUGGGUAGCCGGCCUGAGAGGGUGAUCGGCCACAAGGGGACUGAGACACGGCCCUUACUCCUACGGGAGGCAGCAGUGGGGAAUAUUGGACAAUGGACCGAGAGUCUGGUCCAGCAAUUCUGUGUGCACGAUGAAGUUUUUCGGAAUGUAAAGUGCUUUCAGUUGGGAAGAAAUAAAUGACGGUACCAACAGAAGAAGUGACGGCUAAAUACGUGCCAGCAGCCGCGGUAAUACGUAUGUCACGAGCGUUAUCCGGAUUUAUUGGGCGUAAAGCGCGUCUAGGUGGUUAUAUAAGUCUGAUGUGAAAAUGCAGGGCUCAACUCUGUAUUGCGUUGGAAACUGUGUAACUAGAGUACUGGAGAGGUAAGCGGAACUACAAGUGUAAAGGUGAAAUUCGUAGAUAUUUGUAGGAAUGCCGAUGGGGAAGCCAGCUUACUGGACAGAUACUGACGCUGAAGCGCGAAAGCGUGGGUAGCAAACAGG
rnacentral:rRNA from 1 species